rnacentral:rRNA from 1 species
GAUGAACGCUAGCGGCAGGCUUAAUACAUGCAAGUCGAGGGGCAGCACAGAUAGCAAUAUUGGGUGGCGACCGGCAAACGGGUGCGGAACACGUACACAACCUUCCUUUUGGUGGGGAAUAGCCUUUGGAAACGGAGAUUAAUACCCCAUAAGAUAUUGUGACCGCAUGGUUAUGAUAUUAAAGAUUUAUUGCCAAAAGAUGGGUGUGCGUAUGAUUAGGUAGUUGGUGAGGUAAAGGCUCACCAAGCCGACGAUCAUUAACUGGUGUGAGAGCACGACCAGUCACACGGGCACUGAGACACGGGCCCGACUCCUACGGGAGGCAGCAGUAAGGAAUAUUGGUCAAUGGACGGAAGUCUGAACCAGCCAUGCCGCGUGGAGGAUGAAGGUCCUCUGGAUUGUAAACUUCUUUUAUAUGGGGCGAAAAAGGGCCAUUCUUGGUCAACUGACGGUACCAUAUGAAUAAGCACCGGCUAACUCCGUGCCAGCCGCCGCGGUAAGAC